UCCUGGCUCAGAUUGAACGCUGGCGGCAUGCCUUACACAUGCAAGUCGAACGGCAGCGGACCUUCGGGUGCCGGCGAGUGGCGAACGGGUGAGUAAUAUAUCGGAACGUACCUUUCAGUGGGGAUAACGUAGCGAAAGUUACGCUAAUACCGCAUAUUCUGUGAGCAGGAAAGCAGGGGAUCGCAAGACCUUGCGCUGAUUGAGCGGCCGAUAUCAGAUUAGCUAGUUGGUGAGGUAAAGGCUCACCAAGGCGACGAUCUGUAGCGGGUCUGAGAGGAUGAUCCGCCACACUGGAACUGAGACACGGUCCAGACUCCUACGGGAGGCAGCAGUGGGGAAUUUUGGACAAUGGGCGCAAGCCUGAUCCAGCCAUGCCGCGUGAGUGAAGAAGGCCUUCGGGUUGUAAAGCUCUUUCAGCCGGGAAGAAAACGCAUGGGUUAAUACCCUGUGUGGAUGACGGUACCGGAAUAAGAAGCACCGGCUAACUACGUG
rnacentral:rRNA from 1 species